rnacentral:piRNA from 1 species
CUCCCGUGAGAGGGUCAUUGCGGUA